rnacentral:snoRNA from 1 species
GAGACUAUAGUCUCAGUGACCGGUUCCCGAGUUCAUUACUAGAGAAGUUUCUCUGAACGUGUAGAGCACUGGGAACCACGAGGAGGAGGUGAGCAUUCUCUCCUGAGCAUGAGGUGGCUUUAGGUAUUGCUUCAUGGCAAUUUAGCAACUGCCAUAUGCCAUUGAAGAUAGUUCUUCUCUUCCUCUGGAAGGGGAAGAGGAAGAGGAUGAGGACACAGUCUGAGUGGU